rnacentral:rRNA from 1 species
GUUUGAUCAUGGCUCAGAUUGAACGCUGGCGGCAGGCCUAACACAUGCAAGUCGAACGGUAACAGGAAGCAGCUUGCUGCUUUGCUGACGAGUGGCGGACGGGUGAGUAAUGUCUGGGAAACUGCCUGAUGGAGGGGGAUAACUACUGGAAACGGUGGCUAAUACCGCAUAACGUCGCAAGACCAAAGAGGGGGACCUUCGGGCCUCUUGCCAUCAGAUGUGCCCAGAUGGGAUUAGCUUGUUGGUGAGGUAACGGCUCACCAAGGCGACGAUCCCUAGCUGGUCUGAGAGGAUGACCAGCCACACUGGAACUGAGACACGGUCCAGACUCCUACGGGAGGCAGCAGUGGGGAAUAUUGCACAAUGGGCGCAAGCCUGAUGCAGCCAUGCCGCGUGUAUGAAGAAGGCCUUCGGGUUGUAAAGUACUUUCAGCGGGGAGG